UACGUAGGGGGCAAGCGUUGUCCGGAAUUACUGGGCGUAAAGGGCGUGUAGGCGGCCAUGUAUGUCAGGUGUGAAAUGCCACGGCUUAACCGAGGCACUGCAUUUGAAACUGCAUGGCUUGAGUGCAGGAGAGGGAAGUGGAAUUCCUAGUGUAGCGGUGAAAUGCGUAGAUAUUAGGAGGAACACCAGUGGCGAAGGCGACUUCCUGGACUGUAACUGACGCUGAGGCGCGAAAGCGUGGGUAGCAAAC
rnacentral:rRNA from 1 species